GACGAACGCUGGCGGCGUGCUUAACACAUGCAAGUCGAACGAAGAGCGAUGGAAGCUUGCUUCUAUCAAUCUUAGUGGCGAACGGGUGAGUAACGCGUAAUCAACCUGCCCUUCAGAGGGGGACAACAGUUGGAAACGACUGCUAAUACCGCAUACGAUCUAAUCUCGGCAUCGAGGAUAGAUGAAAGGUGGCCUCUACAUGUAAGCUAUCACUGAAGGAGGGGAUUGCGUCUGAUUAGCUAGUUGGAGGGGUAACGGCCCACCAAGGCGAUGGUCAGUAGCCGGUCUGAGAGGAUGAACGGCCACAUUGGGACUGAGACACGGCCCAGACUCCUACGGGAGGCAGCAGUGGGGAAUCUUCCGCAAUGGACGAAAGUCUGACGGAGCAACGCCGCGUGAGUGAUGACGGCCUUCGGGUUGUAAAGCUCUGUUAAUCGGGACGAAAGGCCUUCUUGCGAAUAGUGAGAAGGAUUGACGGUACCGGAA
rnacentral:rRNA from 1 species